rnacentral:rRNA from 1 species
AUUGACCGCUGGCGGCAGGCUUACCACAUGCAAGUCGAGCGAGUGGCGGACGGGUGAGUAAGGUCUGGGAAACUGCCUGAUGGAGGGGGAUAACUACUGGAAACUGUAGCUAAUACCGCAUACCAUCAGAUGUGCCCAGAUGGGAUUAGCUAGUAGGUGGGGUAAUGGCUCACCUAGGCGACGAUCCCUAGCGGGUCUGAGAGGAUGACCAGCCACACUGGAACUGAGACACGGUCCAGAGUCCUAAGGGAGGCAGCAGUGGGGAAUAUUGCACAAUGGGCGCAAGCCUGAUGCAGCCAUGCCGGGUGUAUGAAGAAGGCCUUAGGGGUGUAAAGUACUUUCAGCGGGGAGGCGUUACCCGCAGAAGAAGCACCGGCUAACUCCGUGCCAGCAGCCGCGGUAAUAC